rnacentral:rRNA from 1 species
CAACUUUCCCUUAAGUUAGGCAUAGCUCUGUGAAAACGGAGGUAAUACCUAAUAGUACCAGAGGAACACAUGUUUCACUGGUUAAAGGCAGGGAUCUUCGGACCUGUCGCUUAAGGAUGGGCUCGCGUCCUAUCAGCUUGUUGGUGAGGUAAUGGCUCACCAAGGCGUUUGACGGGUAGCUGGUCUGAGAGGAUGGUCAGCCACACUGGGGCUGAGACACUGCCCAG